rnacentral:rRNA from 1 species
AUUGAACGCCGGCGGCAGGCCUAACACAUGCAAGUCGAACGGUAGCACAGAGAGCUUGCUCUCGGGUGACGAGUGGCGGACGGGUGAGUAAUGUCUGGGAAACUGCCCGACGGAGGGGGAUAACUACUGGAAACGGUAGCUAAUACCGCAUAACGUCGCAAGACCAAAGUGGGGGACCUUCGGGCCUCACACCAUCGGAUGUGCCCAGAUGGGAUUAGCUAGUAGGUGGGGUAAUGGCUCACCUAGGCGACGAUCCCUAGCUGGUCUGAGAGGAUGACCAGCCACACUGGAACUGAGACACGGUCCAGACUCCUACGGGAGGCAGCAGUGGGGAAUAUUGCACAAUGGGCGCAAGCCUGAUGCAGCCAUGCCGCGUGUAUGAAGAAGGCCUUCGGGUUGUAAAGUACUUUCAGCGGGGAGGAAGGCGGUGUAGUUAAUAACUUCACCGAUUGACGUUACCCGCAGAAGAAGCACCGGCUAACUCCGUGCCAGCCGCCGCCGUAA